AUCUUUCGGAACUGAGUCUAGUUCCUUCGACAUCAAUGUAAUCUAAUAAUCAUGAUAUUCUUAUCAUCACCAUCAUGAUUAUUAGAUUACAUUGAUAUAGAAGGGACUAGACUCAGUUCCAAAAUAU